UGCAGACUACGGAAUGGGGACUUCGGCGCUUUCAAAGUUCAAAAACAUGCGCACAUUCUUCUAAACAUACAUUCACGUGCUAAUGUGUCCGGCCUUGCCUCAUGACAUUGUCAUGUUCAGUGAAACAGCACAGCUAAGCCUCUUCGAAGCCGCUUCUACCGCCAUCUGUGCGAGCACGUACGUCGUCUGGAUCUACGUCGAUCACAUGCGCGACAACUAGAUAGUGAAACCAGCGAUAGUUGGAAGCACGAGUUGAAGAAUGGACGAUAGGCGGUCUACUUGAAAGAAAGGCGGUGACGUGUUGUCUUCUAUCAUAUUUAUCUUUGUGCUUCCGUCUUCGGUCGUUAGAUGCUAGGAGAUAAAGCAGCUACUUGCUUUCGACCAACGUAUGUUGCAGCGCAUCGCAGUCGACUAGAGGAGACACACACACGAUUCAGAUAGGCUCUUUAUUGCGCAGUAUCAGACAAUGAAGAUGCAUUGCCAGGACAGUGUGAAGAUCACGGAACUUGCUGACAAGGUGAAAACUUCUUUUGCCUUGGAGACGAUCACAUCCAUCUGAGGGCCCGGAGUUGAUUUCAUACAACUUGUAGCUCAUCUGGGCGAUACAGCUAGUCGGCAAGGUCAAAAUUAUGUGGGCAAAACAACAAGUCACAUACCAAAGCACGGCUACUAUUAAUUGGAGCACUUUCUUCACUUGACUGUGGCUGGAUCAGGUGUGGAAUGUUAAAACUCAUAUGAUAUCUAGUUUGGAUUGAUGAACAGAGGAAACAUGAGAUUCUCCAGGAAAAGGGAAGCCACCCAUUAUCAUUUAUCCAUUGCUUGCAUUCAACAAAAAACAAGAACUUCAAUCUUCAAGAUGUGAAAUAUCAGAGGAAGAUCGUAAACGAUUUCUUGCAAGCCACAAAGAGCUCCUUAAAGUUAUCUUGGGUGCUGACACGUAGCUUAAUAAAAAACCCGCUAAGAGAUUUAGUUAAGAAAUAUUUUGUUUUCAAUUGUUGGGCAGACUCAUUAAUCAUAGGAUCAUUUUAGCGUAAACAAACAGCUAAAAACAGUUCAGGACAUGCUACAAUACAAUUUUGUCAAUUUUUGCUUGCUG